rnacentral:rRNA from 1 species
UGGGGAAUAUUGGACAAUGCGGGAAACCGUGAUCCAGCAAUGCCGCGUGAGUGAUGAAGGCCUUAGGGUUGUAAAGCUCUUUUACCAGGGAUGAUAAUGACAGUACCUGGAGAAUAAGCUCCGGCUAACUCCGUGCCAGCAGCCGCGGUAAUACGGAGGAGGCAAGCGUUAUCCGGAAUUAUUGGGCGUAAAGCGUCCGCAGGUGGUUAUUCAAGUCCGCUGUCAAAGACCGGAGCUCAACUCCGGAGAGGCAGUAGAAACUGAAGAACUAGAGACCGGUAGGGGUAGAGGGAAUUCCCAGUGUAGCGGUGAAAUGCGUAGAGAUUGGGAAGAACACCAGUGGCGAAAGCGCUCUACUGGGCCGGAACUGACACUCACAGGACGAAAGCUAGGGGAGCGAAAGGGAUUAGAUACCCCCGUAGUCC